rnacentral:rRNA from 1 species
AUUGAACGCUGGCGGCAUGCUUUACACAUGCGAGUCGAACGGUAACAGGCCUUCGGGUGCUGACGAGUGGCGAACGGGUGAGUAAUGCAUCGGAACGUACCCAGAGGUGGGGGAUAACGCAGCGAAAGCUGUGCUAAUACCGCAUGUGAUCUGAGGAUGAAAGCGGGGGACCGAGCAGCAAUGUUUGGCCUCGCGCCUUUGGAGCGGCCGAUGUCGGAUUAGCUAGUUGGUGGGGUAAAGGCCUACCAAGGCGACGAUCCGUGGCUGGUCUGAGAGGACGACCAGCCACACUGGGACUGAGACACGGCCCAGACUCCUACGGGAGGCAGCAGUGGGGAAUUUUGGACAAUGGGCGCAAGCCUGAUCCAGCAAUGCCGCGUGCGGGAAGGAGGCCUUCGGGUUGUAAACCGCUUUUGGCAGGAACGAAACGGUGUCCGCUAAUACCGGGCGCUAAUGACGGUACCUGCAGAAUAAGCACCGGCUAACUACGUG